rnacentral:rRNA from 1 species
GAUGAACGCUAGCUACAGGCUUAACACAUGCAAGUCGCGGGACCGGCGCACGGGUGAGUAACGCGUAUCCAACCUGCCCUUCACCACGAGAUACCCCAGCGAAGGGCGGACUAAGACCGUAUGGUGAAGGAUGGGGAUGCGUCUGAUUAGCUUGACGGCGGGGGAUCGGCCCACCGUGGCUACGAGCGGUAGGGGGUCGGAGAGGAAGGUCCCCCACACUGGAACUGAGACACGGUCCAGACUCCUACGGGAGGCAGCAGUGAGGAAUAUUGGUCAAUGGGCGUAAGCCUGAACCAGCCAAGUAGCGUGCAGGACGACGGCCUAUGGGUUGUAAACUGCUUUUAUGCGGGGAUAGGUACCGCAUGAAUAAGGACCGGCUAAGUCCGUGCCAGCAGCCGCGGUAAUUC